UGACGGGGGCAAUAGGAGCUCAUAGGAGGCACACUGAGAGUGGGGGGGGAUGACGGGGGCAAUAGGAGCUCAUAGGAGGAGGCACACUGAGAGUGGGAGCUGCUACAGUUGUAGGGCUGCGCUAGAGCUAGUUACGCUAACACCAGAGUUCCCUGGCAAAGCAGAGAGAGACUGGGCAAGACGGGGUCAGCCCUAUGUUCCCACAGCCCUAUGUUCCCACAUUUCUAAGGAUUUUUUUUUCACUGACAAUUUUGAAAAUUAGGCCCUAUGUUCCCACAGCCCUAUGUUCCCAGAUUUAUUUUGAAAAAUGAGUCCCGAUGUUCCCACAGCCCUAUGUUCCCACAUUUAGAUUCGAUUUUUCUGAAAAUUAAACCCUAUGGUCCCACAUUUCCUGUUAAGCCCCAGCCGUUUUCGGGACAAAAACACCUACAAAUGCAUGCCUAAAGUAAAUGAUCAAUUCCUCCAAAAUUAUGCAGUCAAUUUGCAUGUUCAUGUUGCAAAAAAAAAGUACAAAAAUCGCCAUUUUGAAAAAAAUGGCGGACCCACCCCCGGGUUAGGGUUAUAGGUUAGGGUUAGGGGUUAGGGUUAGGGUUAGGGUUAGAUGAACUGUAGGAACAUAGGGCCUAAUUUUUUAAUGAUUAUUAGAAAUGUGGGAACAUAAGACCUCAUUUUGAAAAAGCUCUUAGAAAUGUGGGAACAUAGGGCUGUGGGAAUAUAGGGCUGUGGGAAUAUAGGGCUGUGGGAACAUUGGGCUGUGGGAACAUAGGCACGCUCCCGGCAAGACUAGAGCUAGUUACGCUAACACCAGAGUUUCCUGGCAAAGCAGAGAGAGACUGGGCAAGACUAGAGCUAGUUACGCUAACACCAGAGUUUCCUGGCAAAGCAGAGAGAGACUGGGCAAGACCUGCGGGGUCUCAGUGCCAAGUGUGCAGUGUGUAGGAGGGAAGGAGAGGAGAAGAGGGAGAAGAACGGGAAAGGAGUAACAGUAGUGGAAAUGAUGGAGAUGGAGAGAAACAGAGAAAUGAUGAGAAACACAAACACACAAUUCACCUUAAAAUAGCUUAGCACAAUAAGAGGAAAUAGAUUAGCACAAUAAGAAGAAAUAGAUAAGCACAAUAAGAAGAAAUACAUUAGCACAAACUGAAAAGGAGAAUGAAGACGGGUUAAAGGAGAAAUAAAUAAAUAAAUAACAGGCAUGAGUGAGCUGACAAAGAAAAGCUGCUUCGUGAUCGUGAUGUGGUACAGAAGCUGAGUCAGGCGGCCGGGUGAGAGGCACAAUUCCCUUCAGAGGCAGAGUUGUUUUCAUCUGCGGCUCCUCAC
ensembl:lncRNA